rnacentral:rRNA from 1 species
CGCUGGCGGCGUGCCUAAUACAUGCAAGUCGAACGGUCUUUCUAUGGAAGCUUGCUUCCACUGAGAAGAUAGUGGCGAACGGGUGAGUAACACGUGGGGUAACCUGCCCAUAAGAGGGGGAUAACAUCCGGAAACGGGUGCUAAUACCGCAUAGUUUUCUUGAUCGCAUGAUUGAGAAAGGAAAGACGGCCUUUGUGCUGUCGCUUAUGGAUGGACCCGCGGCGUAUUAGUUAGUUGGUGAGGUAACGGCUCACCAAGACGAUGAUACGUAGCCGACCUGAGAGGGUGAUCGGCCACAUUGGGACUGAGACACGGCCCAAACUCCUACGGGAGGCAGCAGUAGGGAAUCUUCCGCAAUGGACGAAAGUCUGACGGAGCAACGCCGCGUGAGUGAAAGAAGGUUUUCGGAUCGUAAAACUCUGUUGUCAGAGAAGAACAAGUUGGAGAGUAACUGCUCCAGCCUUGACGGUAUCUGACCAGAAAGCCACGGCUAACUACGUGCCAGCCGCCGC